GGAGGAGUGGCCGAGUGGUUGAUGGCACCGGUCUUGAAAACCGGCAAGGGCAAAAGUCCUUCGUGAGUUCGAAUCUCACCUCCUCCGCCA
rnacentral:tRNA from 1 species